rnacentral:tRNA from 1 species
GACUGCGUAGCUCAGUUGGAAGAGCAUUGGGCUAGUACUCCAAAGGUCGUAGGUUCGAAUCCCACCGUGGCCA